GUUGCUGUAAUUCGCUACUAGAUGACGCUGCAAAGGAUGAAUUUGUACAUCGACCUGAAAAUUGGUAUAUAAAUAUGGUCCAAUCUAGGUUGCCGUAACUUGCCACAAAAGAUACUGCGACAUCAUGACAAAUAAUUACUGUUGAUUGGUGAGACAUUAAAUUUUGAAAAUUAUUGAAAAUUCCACUCAAAAAAUUGGAAAUUGGAAGAUCAAGCAUUUCACUGCAAGGGCUGGCGAAACAUCUCAACAGUAUACACACGUCGUGAAGCACAAGAUUACGAAUCGAACUCAAUAAAGCAGUAUUCAAUUACAAUGAGGACUACGAGUACAAAAUGCAUCGAAAUCUCCUCAUUCACCUAAUGGCUAUAUUGUGCGCACAUCGCCGCUUUAAUUUUCAGUAAGAAAUGCCUGCAUAUUCGGAAAUACAAUGCAUGCUUCAAAUGACAUCGUUCAGAGUGACGAAGCUUGCAAAAUAUGGUAAUUCCACACCCACAUUCGAGUUGCAAGGGCGUGAGGGGCUACGGGUAAAUGGGUGUCGUGUAAGGAUAAUCGCACGGUCCUCUUCAGACACGAAUUGAUUUAGAGACUACAAUCAGAGUCCCGCCGGGAGCUCAUCCACCGGGAAUUCCUCUGGAGCAUAUGCGUCAGACAGCCAUCCCGGUUCUUAUAGUACCAGAUAACCUCCGGUAAGCUUCGCGGCAAGAGUCACUUUAGAUUGGCCCCCUUGCAGACUUGGAUCUGAUAGCUCUCCUCGAGUACGUGAGGACGAAGUACAAGGGCAAGUGUAUCAUCCGACUUGUUUUCUUCUUCCAGUUCACGAAGAACAUCCGCAGUUUUUGCAAAUAUAAUUAGGCAGAAUAAGGUCUAAUGUAAAAUUCAUAUUUGUACUUUUUUUGCCUAAUAAAUAAUUUAAAAUAUUA